GAUGAAGAACGCAGCGAAAUGCGAUAAGUAGUGUGAAUUGCAGAAUUCAGUGAAUCAUCGAAUCUUUGAACGCACAUUGCGCCCUUUGGUAUUCCUUAGGGCAUGCCUGUUCGAGCGUCAUUUAAACCUUCAAGCUGAGCUUGGUGUUGGGUGACUGUCCGCUUCACGGCGGACUCGCCUCAAAAUUAUUGGCGGCCGGUACAUUGGCUUCGAGCGCAGCAGAAACGCGAACUCGGGCCCGUCGUAUUGGCUCCCAGAAGCUAUCUUCACAAUUUUGACCUCGGAUCAGGUAGGGAUACCCGCUGAACUUAAGCAUAUCAAUAAGCGGAGGA
rnacentral:misc_RNA from 1 species